GCGUCCGUAGCUCAAUUGGACAGAGCUUCUGACUUCGGAUCAGAAGGUUGCAGGUUCGAGUCCUGCCGGAUGCGCCA
rnacentral:tRNA from 1 species